AUUGCUUCUCAGCCCUUUGGCUAAGGUUAAGUAUAGUAUCUGUUCUUAUUGGUUUAAUGUCUGAUACAUCCUCUACCUGAAGACAAUAUAUUAUGUGGGUUUGGGGAGCAGGGAGAUGGAAUUGUAGCUUGCCCCAUCCAUUCCACAGAUGGACCCAAUGUUGUAGUACCUCCAGGAAUGGGGCACUCCCU
rnacentral:snRNA from 1 species